GACGAACGCUGGCGGCGUGCUUAACACAUGCAAGUCGAGCGGUAAGGCCCUUUCGGGGUACGACGAGCGGCGAACGGGUAGGAGUAACAACGUGGGUGGACCUCGCCCUCCAGCUCUGGGAGUAAGCCUCGGGAAACCGGGGUACCGUAAUAACCGGAGUAUGACUCCACUGACGCAUGUUGUGGGGUGGGAAAGACCUU
rnacentral:rRNA from 1 species